rnacentral:rRNA from 1 species
AGUGAACGCUGGCGGUAGGUCUAACACACGCAAGUCGAACGGCAGCACAGUAAGAGCUUGCUCUUACGGGAGGCGAGUAGCAGACGGGUGAGGAAUACAUCGGAAUCUACUUUUUCGUGGGGGAUAACGUAGGGAAACUUACGCUAAUACCGCAUACGACCUACGGGUGAAAGCAGGGGAUCUUCGGACCUUGCGCGAUUGAAUGAGUCGAUGACGGAUUAGCUAGUUAGCGGGUUAAAGGCCCACCAAGGCUAAGAUCCGUAGCUGGUCUGAGAGGAUGAUCAGCCACACUGAGACUGAGACACGGUCCAGACUCCUACGGGAGGCAGCAGUGGGGAAUAUUGGACAAAGGGCGCAAGCCUGCGCCAGCCAUACCGCGUGGGUGAAGAAGGCCUUCAGGUUUUAAAGCCCUUUUGUUGGGAAAGAAAAGCAGCAGGUUAAUACCCCGCUGUUCUGACGGUACCCAAAGAAUAAGCACCGGCUAACUUGGUG